rnacentral:rRNA from 1 species
UUAUCAACUUUCGAUGGUAGGAUAGAGGCCUACCAUGGUGGUAACGGGUAACGGGGUGUUAGGGCACGACACCGGAGAGGGAGCCUGAGAAACGGCUACCACAUCCAAGGAUGGCAGCAGGCGCGCAAAUUACCCAAUCCCGACACGGGGAGGUAGUGACAAUAAAUAACAAUACGGGGUUCUUUCGGAUCUCGUAAUUGGAAUGAGUACAAUUUAAAUCUCUUAACGAGGAACAAUUGGAGGGCAAGUCUGGUGCCAGCAGCCGCGGUAAUUCCAGCUCCAAUAGCGUAUAUUAAAGUUGUUGCAGUUAAAAAGCUCGUAGUUGAAUUUCGGGAUCAGUAGGUCGGUCAUGCCUAUGGUAUGUACUGGUUUUACUGAUUCCUCCUUCUUGAUGAUCUGUAAUGUCAUUAAUUUGGUGUUGCAGGGAGUCAGGACUGUUACUUUGAAAAAAUUAGAGUGUUUAAAGCAGGCAUACGCUUGAAUACAUUAGCAUGGAAUAAUGAAAUAGGACGUUCGAUCCUAUUUUGUUGGUUUCUAGGAUUGACGUAAUGAUUAAUAGGGAUAGUUGGGGGCAUUAGUAUUCAAUUGUCAGAGGUGAAAUUCUUGGAUUUAUUGAAGACUAACUACUGCGAAAGCAUUUGCCAAGGAUGUUUUCAUUAAUCAAGAACGAAAGUUAGGGGAUCGAAGACGAUCAGAUACCGUCGUAGUCUUAACCAUAAACUAUGCCGACUAGGGAUCGGAUGAUGUUAAUUUUUUAAUGACUCAUUCGGCGCCUUACGGGAAACCAAAGUGUUUGGGUU